rnacentral:rRNA from 1 species
GACGAACGCUGGCGGCAUGCCUAACACAUGCAAGUCGAACGAUUGCCUUCUGGUGAUAGUGGCUCACGGGUUCGUAACGCGUGGGAAUCUGCCUUUAUAUUCGGCAUAACAGCUGGAAACGGCUUCUAAUAACUGAGGAUAUCACCAGAUCAAAGCUUGAUCGGCUGAGUAUGAGCCCGCGUGGGUUUAGGUGGUUGGUUGGGUUAAGGCCUACCAAGCUGACGAUCCAUAGCUGGGCUGAGAGGAUGCUAAGCUACACUGGGACUGAGACACGGCCCCGAAUCGUACGGGAGGGAGCAGAGGGGUAUAUUGGACGAUGGGGGCAAGCCUGAUCAAGCAGUGCCGGGUGAGUGAUGAAGGCCGUAGGGUUGUAAAGCCCUUUUACACGAGAAGAUAAUGACUGUACCGGGAGAAUAAGCCCCGGCUAACUACGUG